GGAAUUCUUUCUCACCUUAAAUUAAUUGCAAAUUGAGGUGGUGGAAUUUGCGCCAGUGGAAACCAUAAAUUUCAUACACAAUAGAAAGAUAUGAUAGAUCGAUCUUUUUUAGAUAGUGAAUGGAGUUCUUCUUCUUCUAUUCUAUCCGAUUCACAGGUACUGAUCAUUGAUACUUAAAAAAGGGUUUCUUUCUUUUGGUUUGUC
rnacentral:lncRNA from 1 species